GUCUUAAAGAUAAAAUAUUUUAAGUCUAGUCUGCCCACUGAAAUUUAUUUAAAGGGCCGCAGUAUAAUUGUGCAAAGGUAGCAUAAUAAUUAGUCUUUUAAUUGAAGACUGGAAUGAAUGAUUGGACGAAAUGUAAACUGUUUUAAUUUUAAAUAUAAAAUUUAUUUUUUUAGUGAAAAAACUAAAAUAUUUAAGAAAGACAAGAAGACCCUAUAGAUCUUAAUAUAUAGUAAAAUUAUUUGAAUUUAUAUAAUUGAGAUAUAUUUAGUUGGGGUGAUUAAAAAAUUUAAUUAACUUUUUUGAAUUAUAACAUUAAUUUGUGGUUGUUUAAUAAUGAUCUAUAUUGUAAUUAUAAAGAAAGAUGAAGAUACCUUAGGGAUAACAGCGUAAUUUUAAUUUUAAGUUCUUAUUAAAAUUAAAGAUUGCGACCUCGAUGUUGGAUUAAGAUUAAUUUUAAAUGCAGGUGUUUAAUAAUUUGGUCUGUUCGACCAUUAAAUUUUU
rnacentral:rRNA from 1 species